ACUCAAAUGAAUUGACGGGGACCCGCACAAGCGGUGGAGCAUGUGGUUUAAUUCGAGGCAACGCGAAGAACCUUACCAGGUCUUGACAUGUAUGUUAUGGAUUUUUGAAAGAGAAUCCUUCACUUCGGGUGGGCAUACACAGGUGCUGCAUGGCUGUCGUCAGCUCGUGUCGUGAGAUGUUGGGUUAAGUCCCGCAACGAGCGCAACCCUCAUUCUUAGUUGCCAACAGGUUAUGCUGGGAACUCUAAGAAAACUGCCGGUGAUAAGCCGGAGGAAGGUGGGGAUGACGUCAAGUCUUCAUGGUCCUUACGACCUGGGCUACACACGUGCUACAAUGGCGGUGACAAUGGGAAGCCAACCUGCAAGGGUGCGCAAAUCUCAAAAAGCCGUCUCAGUUCGGAUUGCACUCUGCAACUCGAGUGCAUGAAGCUGGAAUCGCUAGUAAUCGUAGAUCAGCAUGCUACGGUGAAUACGUUCCCGGGUCUUGUACACACCGCCCGU
rnacentral:rRNA from 1 species